AAAAUAAAAGCUCUCCUGAUGGCCUGUUCCUGCACAUUUCCUGAGGACGCCCUCGAUCACAAGCAGAAUCUGUUCAAUUCAGAGUCAUCUGUUUGCUUUCUUCUGAGAAAUUCGAUAACGUACCCUGCUUGCUGGAUGAAUAAAGGGAAGAAAGUUUAUGUACACUAAUAGUAGAAAUGUUUUGGGAUGGUUCAUGAUUUCGAAAAGCUUCAGAGAAAAUAAAGAUACUUAAUGUAGAGUACAAAACAUGUUCUCCCUGCAGUCUCACGAAUUGUGAACAAAAACUGAAGUGAAAACUCCCGGGGCAUAACUCGUCAAUACUCCUGUGAUCGUAUAACCAUCAGCAAGAAAACAAAUUUGAUUGAGCCCCCAUCCAGUCCUCUUUGCGUGGAAUCAGACCUCUUUCGCGGUGAAAAGGAGCAGAGAAUGUGACUUUCCUGAACAACAGGAGCAAGAAUCAAUGCCAGAUUCUCUUCUCUAAAAAUAAUCAAUUUGUUACUACAGUGCUGCAGCUCUGAUGGUUCAACUCUGCCAGAAGAUGGAUCUUUAAUGAUCAGCACU
rnacentral:sRNA from 1 species